GCCGAAGUGGCGGAAUUGGCAGACGCACAGGACUUAAAAUCCUGCGGUCGAAUAGACUGUACCGGUUCGACCCCGGUCUUCGGUACCA
rnacentral:tRNA from 1 species